CACGCAAAUGGCGGCAGCAAUGUCAGCGAAUUGGGCGUUUCUUGCUGCAAGACGUGGACAACGACAAUGGGGUUUGUCCUGUAGUCUGUCGUCUUCGAGACCGAACAGAAGAAAGCUUGUUCUAUACUCGAAACCAGGUUGUUGUCUCUGCGAUGGUCUUAAAGAGAAGCUUCAAGCUGCUUUCUCUCUUUCUGGUCCCGAUUCACUCAACGACGUUAUUCUUCAGGUUAGGGAUAUCACUACGAAUCCCGAGUGGGAAAGGGCUUAUCAGUAUGGGAUACCAGUCCUCGCUAAAGAGAAUUCUGAUGGUAAAGAGGAAAUUUUGCCAAGGUUGUCUCCACGUUUAAGUGUGGAAAUCAUACAGAAGAAGCUAGUUGCUGCUUUUAGUUGAUCAAUUACGUGCACGACAACGAAAAAGUGAAGAAAACGACGUUUUUUCCAAUGCCAUUCCCGAUAUAGGUGCUGCGAUGCAACUUGUCGGUAACAUCUUGGAACUCAGAAUUCUAUUCCAUUAUGUCAAAACUGAAAGCAAAUUUGCUCAUAGAUCAUGAAGGCCUCUGUCUAAAUCCGAAAAGCAAAGAAACUAGGCAUUCCAUAAACUGGUCCCUGCGACAUAUUUUCUUCACUUGUCACAAUCUUUGUAAAUGUAUCUACCUGAUGAGUCUUUUACAUAUGAUAAAAAUUCUCUUAUUAAUCAGUAGUUGCAUCUUUUGGUUGUAUUAUUGAGUUGAGAGCCAUAGGACUAUAAUUUAGUGGAAAGAAUCAGUCAUGAUCAAAUACUCGGUCACGUCUUUAGUGCAAAAUCUAAUAUUCGCUUGAAACAAUACAUCUUUUUGCUAUAGUUGAACGAAAAGUUUGAUAGUAGUGUCUUAUCCUGAAUUAUUCAUUCUUAUUUUUUUUCUUAUCAUUUUCUUUAAAUUAUGGUUUAUAGUCUUUAUAGGGUGGGUGGUAAAGCAAUUAGCUAGCUUUUGGUCAUAUCCUCGUGUACCUUACUUGGCUGAAAUGAUAUGCAUUUUCGCAUAAUUAGAUUGUAUGCGCUUCUAAUUGUUAUGCCAUACAUUUCUAUUUUUGGUCACUGGCCAUCGAUAGAAUAGAAUAGUCUGAUUAUGUGCACGGCUGUCUAUAUCGGAUAUUGAGACAAGAAAUAUGGGGUAAAGAUCGGGAAUGUGUAAUUCAGAUAUAGUAAGAAAUAUACCUAAAAGACGGGAAAUUUUGGUAAAUAUCGAAUUCAACAAAUUUUUGGUAAUUAAGCUUUCGCUUGUUGGAUAAUUUGUUUUGUUUCGUUUUCAAAUUUUAUUGCUGCUCGCUUCCAAAUUUAUCGUCGAUGUGGA